GCUCUAAUGGUGCAAUGGUUAAGCACUCAGCUGCUAACUGAAGGUUGGUGGUUCGAACCCACCCAGCA
rnacentral:tRNA from 1 species